UACGUAGGGUGCGAGCGUUAAUCGGAAUUACUGGGCGUAAAGCGUGCGCAGUCGGUUCGCUGUGUCCGAUGUGAAAGCCCCGGGCUUAACCUGGGAAUGGCAUUGGAAACUGGCGAGCUUGAGUGUGGCAGAGGGGGGUGGAAUUCCGCGUGUAGCAGUGAAAUGCGUAGAGAUGCGGAGGAACACCGAUGGCGAAGGCAGCCCCCUGGGCUAACACUGACGCUCAGGCACGAAAGCGUGGGGAGCAAACAGG
rnacentral:rRNA from 1 species